AUCAGAAACCUGUCUUGUCUCCAUCUCUCGUGUCCCCUGUCCCCUCUCAUCCUCGCUCCCCCUCUAGGGUCUCCGUUGACUUACCCGUGGGCCGGGACAAGUGGCGCCCAACGUGGGGCCAGAGAACGGGGGAUCCAGUGAAGGACGCUGCUCAGGGGCCCUAAGAUUAAGAUUGAGGAACAAAGAGCACACUUGACACAGGAGAGGCUUGCAAUUGAUGUAGACCUGCCGUCUUUUUCGCACCUCGGUUCUCUUUGGGGACUGGGGGGCAGAAGUUUGUCCUAUCUUCACCAAGAACCAAAGCCACCUUCCUCCUUAAGAGGAUUGCCUAGGACCAAGUGUGUGGCCUAGCUCAGAGAUGCCUAGGAGGUUCUGCCCAUGUCUCAUCGGAAGCCCAACAGCCAAAGUCCGACUGCCACAUGAGUACAAACUCCAGCCCCUUUCCUCAAAAUGGAACAACCAUUCAGACUCC
rnacentral:lncRNA from 1 species